AUGUUGAUGCUUCAUAUCAUGUUGACUCAGGUGCAGGGGCAAGUGGUGCUAUUUUACGAGAUUCGAAGGGAGGUUUUGUUGCAGCGGCCAUGGAAUAUAAACCGAAUGCAAUGGACGCUCCAACGAUGGAGGCGUUUGCGAUAUUAUUGGGACUACGACUCUGCUGAGGAGAUGGGCAUUUUUUCUUUGUCCAUUGAGAGUGAUUCUAUGGAGAUUGUUCAAGCUAUCCAGAAUCCGGAUGACUACCGGGCGUCAGGUGCGGUAAUUACUGACGAUUGUCAAAGGUUGAUGAGUUCUUUCGGCAAGGUGACAAUAAAUUAUUGUGUGCAUGAUGUAAACGAGUGCGCUCAUACUAUUGCUCGUUUUAGUUUCUUGGGUCAGGAGUCAAGGGUGUGGCUUGAUAAACCUCCUGAUUUCCCGAUUCCACUUAUUGUAAAGGAUAUGAUUAUGAAUUAA
rnacentral:rRNA from 1 species